ACAGAUAUAUAUGUUGCCAAAAUACAAUGUUCAAUUCGAUCACGACACCAAAAUAGAAUUAACCAUCCAAAAACAAAUACAAUUGUUCAUGGACUUUACACAAUUGUCCAAAUGAAAAAACAAAAAAGAAAUUAACAACAAUUGUUCAUUUAAAGAAAUCAUCCCUUAUUAGCCUAAGAGAAUUAAGAAAUUCCACAUAGUCCAGGUCAUCGUCCCAUGUAGCCGUUUAGACUAGCUGCAAAAACAAAAAUAAAAAAUUAGACAUAGAAAUAUAACAAUCAAAUCCAGUAAAUUAAGCAAAAUUGGCUUCACUUUCGUACUUCUUGAACACAUUCUUUUGUAGGAAUAUCAUUUUUUCAACAAAACUUCUCUUUCUCUUUAUGUUUCCCAUCUUCAGUUUCUUUUCAGUUUCUUUGUUUUUUCCUCCUAUCUUCUUCUUUUGGGGUGUCAUGACUAAUUAUAAAAAGAGACAAUGACUAAUUAGACAAAUACAAAUACAAAUAGAGAGAAAAGAAAAAGAGUACUUACUAAAACAAAACAACACUUGAAAAAAUGAAUGAAAAUAGAAUCAUUUGUGUGAACCACAACAUAUAUAGAUUCAAAUGGAAAGUGAAUCGCUACCAUUGCCCUUGGCAGAUGUACAAACAAACAAGGAGAAGAAUAACUCCACCAUUAAUUUUUCGGAUAUGUAAAUGUCGUAUCUAAGCAAGAGCACUCAUAUAAGAAAGUGUUGUUAUUAUAUCAUAUUCAACAACGCUUCUUUAAUAAAGCAUUGUGGAAUAUAUAUGUAAAUUAACAGCGCCACCUUAAAGGUGUGUUGUUAAAUAGAACUCAUUCAAGUCAAUGCUAACAUCACUGAUAUUCAACAGCGCUUUUUCAGGCCUGCGCUGUUGAAGUUAUAUCCUCCUAUCCAAUGAGAAUGAGAAACAAGUAGAAGAAAGUGGGAAUUAAUAUAAUUAAGGAAAUUGAAAAACUAAAUAUAUUAGUUGUGAAUGUUUAUUUUUUUAUUUUUUGAUGAAUUGGAUAUCCAUCUAAAUGUAUAUUAAUUAAAUAUAACUUUAUAUAUAUUAACUUUAAUGGAUUUAAUUUUCUAAGAUUUAAAUAGAUUGUGAAUAAUUUUGUCAAAUCUAAUUUUCUUUUUACCCACUUCUCUAUCCCAAUAAAAAUGUAUCAUCGUGCUAUCUUUUUAUGCUUUAUAAAAUUAAUAUGAUAAAGUAUUACAAAGUCUUAGAAAUAUGAAUAAAUAAACAUGUAGAAAAAAAAUUUCAUUAUUAACUAUUUAACUUACUAAUAGUAACUUAAUCUUCUUUUAGUAUAAGAAGAAAAGAUAAUUAUCAAUAUCUUAUUAGUCGGUUCUAAAAAAAAUGUAAAUCAUACCUUAUUUUGAUAUGAUGAUAAUUAUAAGUAAUUGAAUAUGUCAAAACUUUAAAAUAUUGAUCUAAAUUAAUUCAAUCAUAUAUUUUGUUUGUUGUUUAUAAUAUCGUCAAAAAAUAAUAUUUAUAUUAAUCAAAUUAUUAUAUUUACUAUAAUACAUAUAACUUAACGGCUAUUAAUAGUGAAUCCUAAUUAACCAUUGUAUUACUCUAAUGAGUAAUAACACCUGAAAACAUAUUCACCUCACGGUUGAAUUUGUGCUUACCCAAUUCUGAACCCGAACUUGAAUUAAGUAGGGUUAAAAUUCAUAAUAUCAUCUCCAAACCCGUCAAAUUUCGGGUAACCCGAACACGAUGGGAACCAAAAAAAACAAAUACAUACAUCUAUUUUUUUUCAAUCAGAACAAAAAUUAAAGUAGCCAAGGGGUCCAAAAUGCUGCGAUUGUGAAUGAUGUUACCUGAUUGUGAGAUUGAAAGCUGAAAACAAACAUAAAAGCAACACUUAUAAUAUGAAGAAUGUGAUGUGGAAUGCAUUUCUAGAUGGGAAUAGAGGGGUUUGGGUUGGUGGUAGAAUUAGAAGAUGGGAAUAGAGGGGAUCUAUGGGGAGUGAGAAGCCUAACUAAAUAUUAUGUAAGUGUGAAACUGUGAAUGAAUGAAUAUGGAAUAUGAAAAUGAAUGAAUAGUAUUACCAAUCAUAGUCAUGCUUGCCUCCUCCUGGAUCUUGAAGUAGAUCAUGUUGGUGGAUGGGAAUGAUAUUAUUAGUAAUGGAUGAUGAUGAUGGAAGUACAUGAGAGAAGAGAUGAAGCUCAUGAGAAUUAACUGUUGGAGAAUAUCUCCAUCCUAAAUCCAUAGAUUAAACACAGAAGACAUUAUGACCAUGGCUUUAUUCCCAUAACCUAAUGUUUAUGCCCAUACAUAAACCCGAAUGGAACAACCAUGGUCCAGACCGAAGAAACCCCAAAUGAGUUCAUGGUGAAGAUGAAGAACAUACAUUGUUGAGCCAUUUCCUGAAUCUCGAAGGUAUGAGGGUGAGAUGAUCUUCCAGAUGAUAGAG
rnacentral:lncRNA from 1 species